rnacentral:rRNA from 1 species
UGCCAGAGCCAUAUCAUCCUGCAGCCCUUGCCUGGUUUCCCACUGAAGCUAAAGCAGGGUUUAGCAUGGACAGUACCUGGAUAGGAGACCUCCUGGGGAAAACUAAGGUUGCUGGUAG